UGAGGAAUAUUGGUCAAUGGACGAGAGUCUGAACCAGCCAAGUAGCGUGCAGGAUGACGGCCCUAUGGGUUGUAAACUGCUUUUGUUUGGGAAUAAUCGACAUUACGUGUAAUGUUUUGCAUGUACCAUUCGAAUAAGGACCGGCUAAUUCCGUGCCAGCAGCCGCGGUAAUACGGAAGGUCCAGGCGUCAUCCGGAUUUAUUGGGUUUAAAGGGAGCGUAGGCUGUUUGUUAAGCGUGUUGUGAAAUGUAAGAGCUCAACUUUUAGAUUGCAGCGCGAACUGGCAGACUUGAGUGCGCACAACGUAGGCGGAAUUCAUGGUGUAGCGGUGAAAUGCUUAGAUAUCAUGACGAACUCCGAUUGCGAAGGCAGCUUACGGGAGCGCAACUGACGCUAAAGCUCGAAGGUGCGGGUAUCGAACAGG
rnacentral:rRNA from 1 species